rnacentral:tRNA from 1 species
GGAAGGUGUGGCUCAGUGGCAGAGAAUCUGCUUGGCAUGCAGAAGGUCUCACGUUCAGUCCCCAGCAUCUCCA